rnacentral:rRNA from 1 species
CCUACGGGAGGCAGCAGUGGGGAAUAUUGCACAAUGGGGGAAACCCUGAUGCAGCAACGCCGCGUGAGUGAAGAAGUCAUUCGUGAUGUAAAGCUCUAUCAGCAGGGAAGAAAAUGACGGUACCUGACUAAGAAGCCCCGGCUAACUACGUGCCAGCAGCCGCGGUAAUACGUAGGGGGCAAGCGUUAUCCGGAUUUACUGGGUGUAAAGGGAGCGUAGACGGCGAGACAAGUCUGAAGUGAAAUGCCAGUGCUCAACACUGGAACUGCUUUGGAAACUGCCUGGCUGGAGUGCGGGAGAGGUAAGUGGAAUUCCUAGUGUAGCGGUGAAAUGCGUAGAUAUUAGGAGGAACACCAGUGGCGAAGGCGGCUUACUGGACCGUAACUGACGUUGAGGCUCGAAGGCGUGGGGAGCAAACAGGAUUAGAUACCCCAGUAG